UAAGCAGCUCCAUCGUCCUCCAUGUGGGUGGUCUGGCUCUCAAUAGGCAGGACCUGUCAGGGUCACGUGAUGAAUCCGAAAACUUUACCCCUUUACAAUAAACUCAAGGAAAGCAAAGUAAACUCCAGGAACGUGCUAUCAGCAGAGCCCUCCUGGGUAAACAGGCAGCUCCCUGCUUCAGACCCCCUUCAGCUCCCAGAGGCCAGCUCAGGAGACAGUCACUGCUGUAACCUCCCAGGCCUGCGAUGGACAAAGAGGACACAGGAUCCUCUUUUCUUUCUCCCCCCUCUAGGCUGUUCCUUUCAAACCAUGGCAGUCCAAGCAGAUCUCAUUUCAGCUUGUAAGGAGCUUGGGUGAGCUCCCUCAAGCUGCGGAGGAGGUACAAUGUGAGAGGUGCCAGGUGUUGGAACGCAGCUCCCCUGGUUUAAAUAAAUACCCAGUCCCAUGGAUAUGAAAAGAAAGGAGAUGGACAGUUUUCCUCUGGCGAAAUGUUUACCAGUCCACCCGGUGCUGGGUUGAAAGAAAGCUUGGGCCUGCAAGAUUUAUGCCGACGCUUGUCAUUUUUGCUAGGGGUCACUAGGAAGUUACUUGUCUCCUGGGUGGCGAAACAAUGCCAAACCCAGUGAUUAGCCCCUCUGAAGGAACAUCUGAUUAUUACUUCUAAGGCAAUACACCCCACUCUGUGAUGCUCUAAGAAGCACAUCUCCUCCCUUAUUUCCCCCAUAGGAUACUAGCACUAUAAGCAUUUAGUGAUGAUUUAGUAUCUUGCUGUCUCCAUGUAACAUGGAAGAAGUUGCUUAGAGUACUGCUUAACUGCUACAGAGUAUUGCACAGCAUGAAUGUGGAAGAAGUCUCUGAAAGAGGUUUCAUGGUUUGGUUAUGAGAGAUGUGAGGUCUGCUAAUUCUGCUCCGUCAUCAGGUUGUACAUUUCAUUUGCUCAAUAAAUACAAUCUCUUCAUGAUAAAAUGGGCCAAGAAGUAAAUGAAGUGUCAUUUGUAUGAAAUGAAAUGUUUGUGUCCAGCUGUCAAGAUUUCUUUAUAUUGGCCUUCAGUUCAGAAACUCUGCUUACCACUUUUCUUUGUGCAGUUUCCAUGUGAGGGUUUUUUUAAAGAUCCUUCUAACAAUCUUAUAUCUGGAGUACUCUUAUUAUAUAGUCCCAUUCAUUGACAGUAACUUGCAUUUUUAAGGUUAAUCCAUUGUCUAUAGGGUUAAACUUUUCAGAGUUAUAUAUGACAAACUCUUGGGUUAUCUCUAUAUCAGAAGGCUUUAAAUGACAUAAUUCUGGCCAUAUCUUUAUUUGCAUAGGACCAGACUGGGCACAAAAAUAAUGAGUAACAAAGAUAUUUCACUUGUGAAACAAAUAUUAUUUUGUCAUGGAAGAGGGCAUCUGUACUUUUGCUGUAGUAAGGACAAAAAGGUGGUAGGGCAUGGAAAAAAAGUCUCAAAGGAUGUUUUUAAGAGUGGCUGCACAAUAUAUAUUACUGUGCUUCUACAUCUGCACCCCAAUAAGAAAUGAUGGAAUUAGAUGAUCAAAAGCAGAAGGCAGCAGGAUGAUCCAGAGAUUCAUAGACUACAAAGCUAGAAGGGACUGUUAGGAUCAUCUGGUUUGACCUCCUGUAUCAAAUUGGCCAUUGGAUGUCCCUAAGUAUAAUUCUUUUAGAUCAAUAUCAUACCCUUUAGAAUAAAAAAAUACCAAAUCUUCAUUUAAAAUUUCCAAAUCAUGGCAAAUGCACCAUGACCCUUGGUAAGUUGUUCCAAUGGUUAAAUACUUCUUUUCAGAAUGUAUUAUCUCCAUAAAGCUCUGCCGUGGAAAUGCAUGCCUAACCAUGUUAGCCACGAAACCAUUUUUAGUAGGAGGAGGCAGAACAAUGGAAUAGGAGAGUAAAGUAGUAAAGAACUGUGCAACUCUUAUGCUAAGCAAGAGGGGAUGAAGGCAGAAUAGUACUUCAACAUAAGUAUGGAAAAGAAAUGGAGAGAGGUGUUCUAUGGAUGGAUGAAAUUAGCAUGAAUAUAGAAAGAGGGAUGAAACUUGGAUCUUUAUGUCAUGAAGGAUCAGAGGACACACUAUCAGAAUAUGAUGAUGUUAUAGAGGCCCAAACGUAUCACAGUGAACCAAUAAUAAAUCCCAGAGACCUCAUGUUCUCUCUUCCUUACCACUUACAACUUCAGUGAGAAUUGUUCUUGCCCUGGGAAACUGUUCAGCAAUUUUUAGUCCCAGCCCAGUGCUUUACCCACUGUAACCAUACUGCCUACUCCUAAAUGAAGAAAAACUGGAACAAGUAAUAUUGUCAGGAGAUGAAGGGAUGGCACGAUCUGACAGAGAGGUACAGAAACAUAGUAACGUUUGAAUGAAGAUUAGAUGCAAUAUUGCAGAAAAUGAGAUAGGGAAGCUUGACAAUCCACCUGGUGGCAUCUUUCUUUGUUUUAUAAUACAGGCUUUUAAGCAUCGACUAAUAGAAUAAUAUGGCUAGAAGGGACCUCUGGAGGUCUUUUAGUCCAACACCCUGCUCACAGCAGGAUCUUCCUUGACUAAACCAUCCCAGCAAAGUCUCUGUCUAGGCUGCGCUCAAAAAAGUCCGAGGAUGGAGAUUCUAUAACUUGUCUGGGCAGCCUGUUCUAAUGCUUAACCACCCUCACAGUGAGGAAGUACUUCCUAAUACCCAACCUACAUUUCCCCUGAUGCACUUUGAGACUAUUGCUCCUAUUUCUGUAUACUGUGACUACAGAGAAUAGUCUACCCAUUUUCUUUAUAACCACUUUUCAGGUACUUGACUGUUAUAAAAUCUCCCCUUGUUCUUUCUUUUUUCAAGACUAAAUGAUCCUAGUUCUUUCAUACUUUCCUCAUAAGGCAAGUUUCCCAGGCCUCUAACCACUUUGUCUUUCUCUGUUGACUCUCUGUAAUUUGUUCACAUCUUUGUUGAAGCAAGGGGCCCAAAACUGGAAACAGUAAAACAGAAGUGAAAUACAGAGCAAAUCUGAUGUUCUUGCUGCAACCUGCAUUUUAAAAUACCUCUAUAUGUUUUUGGAAAAGAGUAGACCAUACUCCUCCAUCUUUGUUUACAACAUCUAACAGCUGUAAAAUCUCAUGACUCGGCUUUUACAUAGGCAUUAUUUUGCAAUACAACAUUAAUAAGGCUUUCAGGGAAAUUUACCUUUAUGCAUCAUUAGGUGAAGUGAGAAUUUAAAGUACUUAAGACUACCUCUGAAGGGACCCAUUAGAAGAAAAGCUUUGUUAAUUACUUAAGGGACUUAGAACUCAAGGACCUAGGUUAAAGAGACUGCUAAAAUCAUAUUGCUAGUCUUUGCUCAGGGAAUUGGGAAGAAUUAUUAGGGGUGGAUCCUUAGGAGAUGUGAGUUGACAUAGCUCUACUGAAAUUUCAGAGACAUGCUGAUUUCCACCAACUGAGAAUCUGUAUCCAUCUACUUAUUUUACAAAAGGGUCUCUAAUAUCUAUUUUUUUGUUCUGAGGGCCUCACUAAGCUAAAGGAUCAGGUGGCAGGUGGAGGAUACAAGGAGUACCGGCUCCACUCGUGGGUGAGGUAGUUAAGUGAGCCAUCAUUGGAAAACACCAAGAUUCCAGGUGAGAGAUGGAUCUUUUUGAAGUCCUGAGGCUUUGCUGCUGUUAGCUGGAUAUCCCAAAUUUUGUAAGGCGGGUAUAUUUUCUUUGAACGGGUCUCCCUUGGCCCUCACUGUGAGGCAGAGAACACCGAGGAGAAAGAAGAAUUUAAAGAAAAGGUAGCAAUCACUCCUUGCUAUAAUGGAUUAUUCCACCAUGAGGAAAACUAAUCCCCUUCUCUUCAGUUGCCAAUCAGAACUCAACAAUGUUCCAAGAAAUCCACAAGAUGACACUCUUCACAAGAUAAGGGAGGUUCAGAGCAUGGGGGAAUCCUCCAUGCUGGCUGGCUGGCGAGGGAGUCCUGAUUUAUGAGGGUUUCAAGUUGCCCUGGAGUGGUUCCUGAGAUUUCAGCACCUGUGCCAUAACAGCACCAUUUUUUCCUCUUUCAUUAUGCAAUAAGCUGUUGACCUAUAAACUGAGCAAAACUGACACGGAAGUUAUAUAUGUAUCACCAGGGAGUCAUUUUUAACUCUUAUUCCUUAAUAAAUGUCCUUGGAACUACUUUUUUAUAUGGGAGGAAAAGCAUGAAGUACAUUGAAUAAGAAAGCCCUCAUAGCCAGAAUUCCUUUUAUUUUAGUAUAAGUUACCACAGUACAUAGAAACUCCCUUAGCUGUUUAGCUGACCAUAAUGUUUAUAUGAGACCACAGCAAGACUAUGUUAUGAAUGUAUAUUUUUAAAUAUUAAUUCUGUUUUUAAAGAGAAAAAGAACACAUCUGUUUGAGCAUAAUGUUCUACAUAUUAACUUUUCGCUGUAAAUACAACUCAGGAUGAAGGAAAAAAGUUGUCUGGGAUACCACAAGAUAUAGAUACAAUCAUUUAAGAAUACAUGAAAUGGCCAUUCCUUCUCCAAACUGAUCUAUAUCAAGUCAUUUGAAAACAUAAUGAGCUAAAUUGUCUGCUGACUUUUAUCCGAAACGUAGUCCUUGAAACUACACAGGGCAUAAAUCAAUGGAGAAUUUGUCCCAGAGUUCCAAACCAGAGAGGAGAUUACACAGGUCUGAAGUCAAUAGUAUGCAGAAAUAAUUUAGGGCCUUAGGAUCUCACAGUUUCAGCAAUGACUAAAAUGAUAACUGGUGAGGAAAAGGAGGCUAAACUAAAAAGUAGAGGUGGAAGAACCUUGACAUAUUGUAGAAGGUUGAUUUAGACAACCACCUCUAAGUCUAGAUAUGAAUUUGAAGGAAAGUCUCUUAGGGGCUCUACUAUACAUGGAAAUUAAUUUGAAGUAGAAUCUGAAUUUAUAAUGCAACAGCUAUUUCUGAAUGAACACUCGUAUUCCAGAAUAAAGGGGCCACUUUCUUUCAAAAUGAAUUAGGCUAAACUAAAAGAAGCCACUCUUAUUUUGGAGUGUCUGUACCUGCAGCUAUUCAUGAAUAGUUCUGGAACAACUCCAUGUGUAGACAAGCUCUCACAUUGUGCUUAAUUUAAUGGGGUCUCCACUCUGACUGGGGCUUUUUUGUGGCCCCCCCAUAUCGAUAGUAAAUAAUAGUGUUUGUUGUCUACAGUGCUGACCCAUAGAGAGACUGUAUCCUAUACCAUGCUUAAUGCAACGGAACUGCAAUACAAAUAAUUCAUGAUAACUCUUAAUAAUAAAUGUUUGUGUGCUGAUCUAAAACUGCUACAGAUCUCUUCAGUUUGUAAAACUGGGCUGUAAAUCUCAUGUGUAGAAGAGACUGCUUGAAAUUUCCAGUACUUCUUGCUGCUGGACAGGCUGACAAUCCUGUAUAAACCAGUUUUUCUCAUGGCAUUUCAAUACUUCCAGUUCAGAAUCCUGGCAGGACCCUGGAUAUCAAGGGUUAGGCAAAAAUGUAAAAUAAUAGUAAUAAAAAACAAUUACAAAGUUUUUUCAAACUUCCAGAAAGGUCUCUUCUUUGUCUGCUUUGAGCUCAUAUUCAUUCUGAACUGAUCUGCUAGUAAUUUUGGGUGUGACAUGACUAAAGGGGGGAGAUGUUAAUUGUUUUCUCUCUGGAAGAAGCAGGAGAUUCCAAGGGCAAAAAACAAAAUGUAAAGCAGACGCUUCUUAGGAUCACAUUAGGGAUUAUAUCCUAACUUUAAGAGGCAAAUAGCACUGAUUAAUGGGUAUAUUUGGCUGGUACUGGUUGAGUGGUUUUCAAUAGUUGCCUCAGCUUAGUGCUUCAUGAAACUAAGCUGCAGCUUUGUAAUGUAAAGGCUGCUUUUUAACAGUCAGUAGGCAUAAAGCACUACAGAAAUGAAGGGUCCUUUAGAAUGAAUUUGGGACUCAUGGAACAUUAUUGAAAUUGUUUUAAGAUUUUCCUUUUUAAAACAGUUUAUCUUUGAAGAUGAAGAAAGAAUGUCUUUGUCUGUGAUUCACAAGUUCAUAUAUGGAAAAGUUUGCUUCUUUCAUAUAGACAAUAAUAAUGAAAAAAGACGACGUUGAUGUACGGUAUAGUAAAUACUAUUUAUUACUUUUUACAAGGGAAGACUUAUGGUAUACUAUACAUCAAUCACUUCAAGAUGAGAACAGACCAAAAAACCUAUCAGAAAUGUUGAAAAGCUUUUCUCUAGAGAGCACGACUUGAAAUGUCUUUUGCAUACAAUAAAAAUAAACCUUGA